rnacentral:tRNA from 1 species
GGCCCUGUAGACUAACGGAUAAGGCGUCGCUCUCCUAAAGCGAAGACCGCAAGUUCGAGUAAUGCCUGUGUCG